rnacentral:rRNA from 1 species
UACGUAGGGGGCAAGCGUUGUCCGGAUUUAUUGGGCGUAAAGAGCGUGUAGGCGGCCAAGCAGGUCCGCUGUGAAAACUCGAGGCUCAACCUCGAGACGUCGGUGGAAACCGUUUGGCUAGAGUCCGGAAGAGGAGAGUGGAAUUCCCGGUGUAGCGGUGAAAUGCGCAGAUAUCAGGAGGAACACCGGUGGCGAAGGCGGGUCUCUGGGCCAAUACUGACGCUGAGGAGCGAAAGCGUGGGGAGCGAACAGG